UGUUAAAUCCAGAAUCAAAUCGGUUCUUUCUAUUAGAAACUGACAUGAUUGACAAAAUAACCUAAAAAUGACACGUGACAUGUCAUGUGUAUCUUAUGUUGACGUACAAUGACCAACUUUUAAUAGUAAAAAUGGAUAGAAUUUUUAACA
rfam:Gossypium hirsutum cultivar TM-1 chromosome 6, whole genome shotgun sequence